rnacentral:rRNA from 1 species
CCAGACUCCUACGGGAGGCAGCAGUGAGGAAUAUUGGUCAAUGGGCGCGAGCCUGAACCAGCCAAGUCGCGUGAGGGAUGACGGCCCUACGGGUUGUAAACCUCUUUUGCCGGGGAGCAACGGGCGCCACGUGUGGCGCCACUGAGAGUACCCGGAGAAAAAGCAUCGGCUAACUCCGUGCCAGCAGCCGCGGUAAUACGGAGGAUGCGAGCGUUAUCCGGAUUUAUUGGGUUUAAAGGGUGCGUAGGCGGGACCUUAAGUCAGCGGUAAAAUUGCGGUGCUCAACGCCGUAGAGCCGUUGAAACUGGGGUUCUUGAGUGAGCGAGAAGUAUGCGGAAUGCGUGGUGUAGCGGUGAAAUGCAUAGAUAUCACGCAGAACCCCGAUUGCGAAGGCAGCAUACCGGCGCUCAACUGACGCUGAGGCACGAAAGUGCGGGUAUCGAACAGGAUUAGAUACCCCGGUAAA